GAACAACGUCGGCUGCUCUAAAGUUUGGAUCAUGGAGGGCUCCGUCUGCACAAAUCCUAGACCCGAAAGCUCUACACAUUCUGAAGAAAGUACAAUCGAACCAGUUGUACCACUAAGUACAACUCUGGCCACUAACAAGCUUCCUCGAUUUUCAACUCCUGCUAUCGGCCAUUCAAAUAAUAAUUCCAGUAAAAAUUUCACAUUGAAUUUGGCUGAGAAGCUCUCAGAGAUACUAUCGGAUGACGAUAAAACUGAUGAAUUCCUGGAGAACUCUCAUCAAUCCGAAACUUCGAAGGACGACGUGAUUAAAGAUUUGCUCGAAGAAAUGGUACAAACGGUUGCCAAUUCUAAUAAACCUCCGAUUCUUUUGAGCACAACUCUCGCAAAUGUUGGUGUUCCCCGCUUUUCAACUCCCAUCAAACCACAACAUGCAUUGAAUCGAGAUUUCACGAUGAACAUGACAGAAAUGAUUUCCGAAAUCGAUUCGAAUUAUGAAGGUUAUGAAUUAUUCGACGAUUCCUCCAAUGACUGUACCACCUUGACCCCCAACUGCCAGGAGGUCGAAUCGUCAUUUUAUCGAGCACUUUCUGAAGCAGCUAGUUCCAUUGUUCCAUAUCAGGAAGGAAAGAGAAGAAGCUCGAGACGUUUGAGUACUCUGAGUAGUCUCAAGGAAACUGUCAAAGUAGAGCCUGCAGUUUCAAAAUUAACGAAGAGAAGACGGCUCACGUAAGAAUUUUUCUGUGACGAGAAUUCUGCCCGUUCAGAGAUCGCUGCAGAUCGAAUUAUCAUAACUUCAAUUUCUUUUUUAAAAAACGGAUUUAUUAGCAUGAAUAUAUUCAAAAUUUCAAUAAUCCGAAUCACCGUCGAAGUUAUGUACUUAAGAGUUUCAUUAUUUUUCAGACCGGUUGAAUGUUCAAGUGAAACUAUGAUUCCACACUCCCAACCAAUACCACUGGAUACUUGCUCAGAUCAACCCAUUUUUCCCAAUUCGACACACAAUGCUAUUCAAUCUGAUGGAUUCUCAUAUGAACAACCUAUUUGUGAAUUUGGAGAUAGUCAAUUGUUUUUGUCAGCAAAAAGUCUUUGCACUGAGCCGAACAGUUCUAUUGCUGAGGAUGUGAAGCCGGUUUUGACAGUUUCGGAUUCCGACAUAACAGCUUCCAACAGGAAUAAUAUCGAUGAUCAUAAUCGAGUCAUAGAACUGUCAACUGAGGUAUGAUUUGAGUAAUUUCCUUUAUUUUUAAUUUGUAAAUCAUCACAACUGACAAGGGAAGUCUUUGAGGGGGUCCCUAGAUUUGGGAUUCUCAUGUUGAAAUUCCAAUAGAAGAGUAUUCCAGAUGAUCCCUCCAAAAAAUUUAGCUGCCCAGGUUGGGUUUCAGCAAAGUUAUGACGUUUUGAAAAUUCGGUCUGAAAUCGGUUGAUUUGUAUACUAAAUCAACGGUCGGCAUCGGCCCGGGACACCAUAGUUGUCACCAGGCGCGUGGUGUGAGCAAAUCAUCGGUUGGUUGGUUGAGUGGUAACGAGAUGGGUUCUGGUGGUGAAGGUUGUGGGUUCGAUCCCUUGCGUUAUAAAGCUUUUUUUAAAAGUUUUUACUGUAUUUUAAAAACAGUAAAAAGUGUGAUUGAAAUUACUUUUACUGACUUUCUCCACCUUUUUGAGUUUCUUAUAAACGUUUGCAUCACAUUUUCUCACAUUUUUUGAAUUAAAAAAAUUUCAAAAAAAUCAAAAUUUUCAUCAUCAAAGUCAUGAAAAAAAAUAGAAAUCUCAGAUUUUCAGAUAACUAUAAAAAACCCACCGAAAGAUUAUUUUCAUUAUUAAACUCAUGGUUAAAACGUAUUUCGCGAUAAACUGGGCCGUGACCGACGGAAAGGGCCACUGGUGUAAACCGCCGUUUUUGUUCGAAUUUUUUUUUAGUAAUUUCACCGUUUUUUUGUUGUUUUUACUUAUUGAAUUAAAGGUAAAUGCCGUUCCGUGCUGAUCUUAUUGUUGGAGGACUGGUGGAAGAGUUUGGACAUGAAUAUAAUCCAAGUUUCAUGAGCCGCGAGGAACAAAAAAUUCUCGAACGUGUUCGAAGAAUAUUGCGUGAUGGAAAAACUCAUGAGCUGAUCGUGUAUAGUGAGGAUGAAGAGGAAAUUGUCGGUGGAAUAGUAGAGGAUGAAAAUUGGACAGCAGACGAUGAUGGUCCCACUACUUAUGCUCUUCCGGACAAAGUAAAUUUCUCGGGAAAUCUAGUAGAUGUGGAGACUGUGAGUUUUCAACUAUGUCUAAAAAGUUUGUAAAAGAAAGACGUUUUUACGGUUUUCGAAAGCCACCGUAUUUUUAUAAAUGCUACCAACUUAUGUGUAUGUUUUGAAUUGUAAUACUGUUAUCAAUACAGGUUGAAAAGGCUAUUGAAUUUAUGAUGGAUACAAAACAUAACAAGUUCCUCACAAUGUCCAGUGUACAGCAUCGUUACCGUUUUAUCAAGUCAGAAAAGGAUAUGAAGAAGCUCCGAAAGUUCGCUAGAAAUCGUCAGUUUUCUUUUUCCAUAUUCUCGGUGCACAACUAUUUAUUUGUUUUAGAAAAAGUCAAUUGUUCUCGAGCUUCCAGCUUCGCAAAACUGUCAGAACUUUUGAGAGCAAAAGUUUUUGAGACAAUGGAAGCAAGUGAGUGUUUGAUUGCAAAUUAAAUUUGCAUGCUUUAUUUUUUAGAAGUUCAAAUCGACAAGCUCACACUUCGACGAAUGGCAGUUGAUCUAAAUGAAGAGUUUGUGCACAUUGACGAUUUCAAGGCUUCAGACGAUUGGCUCGCAAAAUGGAAGAAGUCAAAUGGUUUGGUAUCUCGUCAUAUCACUACUUUUGUGACCAAAGCUAGUUUCGCAAAUAAAGAAAAGACAGAAGAAGCGGCAAAGAAGUAUGUUGAUGAUAUGAAACUAGAACUGCAAACGCUCGAUCCAAAUACAGCUUUCAACUGUGAUCAGUGCGGAUUCACGAAGGAGCAAUAUUGCAAAAGGUUCGCCUUGAAAAGAGCAACUUUUAUGAAAUAAACUUUUCAGAACUCUCGCACCGAGGGGGGUGAAACGUGUUGAGAGACUUGUCCAAUCAAAAGAUGCCUUAUCUCACUCGUAUACCAUUCUCCCAAUGUUGAGUGUGACGGGAAAGCUCGCUCCAAAACUCUACAUCGUUUUGCAGGUAGAAAAUGCGUAUCAUUCAUUGCAGUCUUCUCAACUUUAACUUUUUCAAAAAGUAAUAUAUUACAGGAAAAAGGAGGCAAGUUUCCCAAGAAAGGUCACUGUUCUCCGUCCAACCUCAUCGUUCGUGCCAACUCCAGUCACAUUAUGACCAAAGAUUUAAUGAGAGAUUGGGUUGAAAGUGCAGUGUGCGAUCCUGCGAUGCCGAAGAAAACCGUUCUUCUCCUUGACUCAUGGCCAGCAUGGAAAAAUGAAAGGGACGUACAAGACGCUGCGCUAUAUGGACACACGGUCCACGUUCGUACGAUUCCACCUGGAGCGACUUCUUUCAUUCAACCUUGUGACAUCUACCUCUUCUGCCCAAUGAAAAACUUCGUCAAAAAAGUUCAAUCCCAUAUCAUCUACGCUGGAAUCGAGUUCAAGCCCCAUGAGCGUGACAAUAUUCUCCGUUUGAUUUCGGCCGUGUACUUCUUUUUCUGUGCACCCAGAUUCGAGACAUGCUGGCAGUACGGUUGGUUCAAAGGAGGCUACAUUGACUCACAUCCAUCUGAAUUCGAGACACCUUCCAAAUACUGUCUCGAAGCUACUGGCAAAUGCAUACUACAAUGCCAAAACGCGGCAUAUGUCCGUUGUCCAUAUUGCAAAAAAUGUAUCUGCUUUCACCAUUGGGUGGGAAGUGGAUUCCCAGCUCACAGAUGCUCCUAAUUCACGAGUUUAUUACUUUUUUUAAAAAUUAACGUUAUGUUCUGUUCGUUCUGCUAAUUUCUUCCGGCGUGUUUUCAAAAUUUUCUGAGAUUUCUAUUUUUUUUUCAUGACUUUGAUGAUGAAAAUUUUGAUUUUUUUUGAAAUUUUUUUAAUUCAAAAAAUGUGAGAAAAUGUGAUGCAAACGUUUAUAAGAAACUCAAAAAGGUGGAGAAAGUCAGUAAAAGUAAUUUCAAUCACACUUUUUACUGUUUUUAAAAUACAGUAAAACUUUUAAAAAAAGCUUUAUAACGCAAGGGAUCGAACCCACAACCUUCACCACCAGAACCCAUCUCGUUACCACACAGGUAAACCGCGUCAUGCGAGCAACUGGUGAAUAACGAACGAACAGCCGCUAACACGCGAAAUGUGAUUGUAAACAACAAAUAAUUUUGUGAAAAAUGUUUUCCACUGAUUUUUAAACUUUCAUAAGGAUCCCCUUAUGAUUCCUCCGAUGUUCCAAUUUUGAGCAAAAGGGUCCCCCCUUAUGGUUGAAAAAAGUUUUUCGCCUAAAUUUUUUUUUUGAAAACUUUUCAAAAUUUGCUCAGAUGUUACAGAAAAUGCAAUGUUUGUAGUUUUUUUUUAGUUUCAAUGUUCUAAACACAAUUUCAGACCAAAACCUGAGGUGUAGUAUGUAGAACACCUAUGUUCAAAAACGCUUUCACUUUGGAUGCUUAUAUCUCCGUGGAAAAAUUUUUUGUGACAAAGCGAUCAACUACAAAGUUGUUUAUUUUAAUCUAAUGUACAACUUUGUAGUUGAACGUUUUUCUUCAAAAAAAUUGGUGGUCGAGAUAGGAACAGAAAAAGAAGUAGAAAAUAAAAGCAUGAAGCUUCCGCAAUUAACACAACUUUAUCUCGACCACCAAUUUUUUUGAUGAGAAACGUUCAACUACAAAGUCGUACAUUAGAUUAAGAUAAUCAACUCUGUAGUUGAUUGCUUUGUCAUAAAAAUUUUUUCCACGGAGAUAUAAGCAUCCAAAGUGAAAGCGUUUUUGAACAUAGGUGUUCUAAUACACUUCAGGUUUUCGUUUGAACUCGUGUUCAGCACAUCGAAACUAAAAAAACAAUCAUUUUUACAUUUUUCUAUAACAUCUGAUCAAAUUAUGAAAAGUUUUCAAAAAAAAAAAUUUCGAAAAAAUUUUAGAAAAUUUUCAUAAGGGGGGAGCCUUUGGAUUUUUUUUCAUAAAAAUCGAAAAAUUUUUUUUUUCAAAAGUUGUCAAAUAUUUAUCAGAUAUUGUAGAAAUAUGUUUACUUGUUCGUUUCAAUAAGUUUUCUUACCAAAUGUGGUGCUUUCGAAAACUAACAAACUGUAAAAACCUCUAUCCCUCUAACAGAUCUACCUGAUAUGCCAGUUUUUCGAAGUCAUGUCCCACAUCGGGCAAGCAAGAUAUCUAAAAAUUGUCAACUACAAACUUUUUUAGUUUGUUAUUGAACAUGUUUCAUACUUAAUAGUUUUUUGCUUUCUGUGCAGAGUACGGAGAUAUCAUCAGUCAUAAUUAGUGAUAUUUGACUCAUAACUAGGUGCUCCUAUUUGCUCAGCCAUCCAAGAUGGAAAAAAGUUACAAUAAAUAAUUUGUCAAUCACUUUAUUCACAACAACUUUUUAGUUGACAAGUUUUUCAUAUUUAAGCUGCCUGCGGAGGUAGAACAUUUUGGAAGUACUGACUUUCUAUGAACAAGCCAAAUUGACUGUUGUAUUUUUUUGCCCAGGAGUGCGAUUGAGCUAUGAAAACUGUGGAAAAUACUAAAAUAUACAUUUCCUACACAAGUAUUGCAGUAUUGAAAUUUUUUGGAAAAAAAAUUUUUCCCAAAAUUUUUUCAUAAGGGGGGACCCUUAUCAAAAUUUUAAAAUCAGUGGAAAAUAUUUUUAAUUAAAUUUUUAUUGAACUUAACUUUUUUUCAAUUAUAUGUUGGUUUCAAUCACAAAUCACAUUUACGACUCAAAGUGAUUUUUUCUUUUCUACGACUUCAAUAUAAGAGCGAGAAACCAUUUCAAAAGAAGCUCCAAACGCAAAUGGCAACGACACUCCGAAAUAACGGUUGCGCGCCCUCUUUACCGUAAAUCCUCCUCAUUUUCGAAAUUAUUUUUUCACCAUUUUUUUCUUUUUCUUCGAUUUUUCAUAGUUUUCUUCAGCAAUUCUUUGAUUUUUUUGGCAAAAAUAAUUAUUUUCCGUAAAUAUACUCGUGUUUCAGCAUAUCCGACGUUGAGGUACCGAUUCAUCCGCGGAUCCGACGCGGAAUCCAUAGAAAUGGAGAGACUCGUCUCUGGAGUUUGGAUGGGAGUGUGCUGCUGAUUCUGAAAAUUCGAGUUGAUAAAAUUUUGGGUUAAAAAAUUAAUGAUUACAUUGACAAAUUGAGCACAAAUUUCCGACUUCCGGUCUUUAAUUGUAGCAUGGAUCUCGACUUAAUGGACGAAUUCUCGGAUCAGAGUCUAGCAUCAGGGCAAUCAAACUGCGAAGAUCUGUAGAAGUUCCAGCGAAGACAGUCAGAUGGGACAGAAUAAUGUGAUCGACGAUGCUCCACCACCAACACGCUCACGUGGACUGUGAUAUUUGUCAACUCGACGAUUAUUCAUCACGUAAGAAAAAUAGUUGAUACUUAAUUAAAAACCAUUUUUUGUUUUCAGCGACUUCAACAAUCACCGACUCCUGCCGCCUCGUCGCCUCGGAACGUGUCAUCUGCAUCGACAAACCCGUCCCCAUCCGAAUAAUUUUCUAUUUUUUUUCAAAUUUUAUUUUAUUUUUUUAUAAAAUAAAAAUUUUUAUGAACUAUCAAUUGUUAUUAAGGAACCGCAAAUUUCAAUAUAUGGCGAAUAACGGGGUGCCAGCUAGCUGGGCAUUCGGAGCGUCCUCAUCAUUUACCGGUCCGUUUUUCGCGAGUUCUUCAUCGAAUAGCGGCCCGCGCCUUCACCAAAGCCAUGUACCGUUUUCGCGAAAUAGCGGCCCGUCACCCGACGAAUAUUCGCAUGACGCGGUUUACCUGUGCACUCAACCAACCAACCGAUGAUUUGCUCACACCACGCGCCUGGUGACAACUAUGGUGUCCCGGGCUGAUGCCGACCGUUGAUUUAGUAUACAAAUCAACCGAUUUCAGACCGAAUUUUCAAAACGUCAUAACUUUGCUGAAACCCAACCUGGGCAGCUAAAUUUUUUGGAGGGAUCAUCUGGAAUACUCUUCUAUUGGAAUUUCAACAUGAGAAUCCCAAAUCUAGGGACCCCCUCAAAGACUUCCCUUGUGAGGGAGGUUUUCGUUUUUAAUUAAAGAUUUUGCAGCAUAAGACAAUGGGAGAGUUUCAAUAUAAUUUCGAUGAUGAGGAUACUGUGCUGAUCGGAAAUUAUGAAGAAGUUGGAACAGAAAUUGAUGAGGCAGAUGAACAACAUAAUGAGGAGAACAGUGAAGAUGAUGAAGAGGAUGAGAGCCCGAUUCCUUCAAAAAAGCGAGUUUCGUUUGCUGUUCCACUUGUUCAAAGUCGCUCCAAACAAAAGGAUGAAAUGAAUAAAGUUCAUAUCAUUAAAUGCCAUUUUGAUGUGAGUUUCUGAGAACAAAUAAAUAUGAAAAAUCAACAUUUUCUUCCCGUUUAGAAGUGUAACAAAUCGUACAAUUGGCGCAAAAAAUACGGUAAACUACGUCUUGUGGAUCACGCCUUCACUCAUGUCCCUCACUUGAAAAUGAAGUGCAAUUUUUGUGAUUACAUGUGCAAAGGAAUUAGAAAUAUUAGGCUUCAUCACAAGAAAAGUCAUCCUGAUGAACAAUUAACGGGAUUUGGUAUCAAAAGGUACUUUGAGAUUCCAAAAAUUAAUGUAUUUGUCUUAUUUUUCAGUGUGGUCCGUACUUCGAAAAAAGGAAAAGACUUGGCGAAGGUUUGGGAUGAAUGUUUUAAAAGUAAGUGAAGUAUAUAUGAAAAAGUUAUAAUUUAAAAUGUUAACUUUCUAGAAAAUCGUGUCCUUCAACAUGGAUCUGGUACCGAUUCAAACCUAUUGCAUUUCUCAAGACAAGACAAAGGAUCUAAAAGAUCACAGAAAUCUAUGGAUUCUGGUGCAAAACAAAAAUUGGAUGAAGCUAGGGACGAGGAUGUGAAGCCAUUUUAGUGAGCAUUAAGUUUAAAACAUUCCGCGUCAUUUUUUUAUUCAGUUUCUUCAGAAUUCGAUGAGCUUCGUCGUCGGGCCGUCUGCUUUUUGUAAAUUGUGUCUCAUGUGUUAUUAUCGUUGAUGUUAUAUUAUGUUGUUUUUAAUGCAUUCUAUGCGACUUUUCUUUUAAUAAUUCUGAAGGUCUUCAUUUUAUCACCGCUUUAAUUUAUAAUUACGACAUGUUGUUUCACUCAAGUUUGAAAAUAUUUCUUGCUAAGACCUACUUUAAAUGUUAAUCGCCGUUUCAUUUGGAACUUUCUUGCUGCUGCCCAUUUUCGAUAUAACUUUUUGAAAGUGGAGCACUCCAGAUAGACUUAAAAUUCUAUUAAUUUAAAUAUGUUCUUACAAGAAUUUUCUAGAUGACCUGCGAUGAUUGGAACAGUUUUAUUCAAGUGAACAUUUAUGGAAAAACCAUAGAAGGACUUCAGCAGCAAGGAGUUGUGUUGGAAACUCUUUUG
rnacentral:sRNA from 1 species